UCUAGAUAUAUUUUGAUUUAGUUGUUAGAAGUCGGUUAGGCACGUGUAGUUAGUUACCAGCUGUGUAUAAGCCUAUAUACUCUACAGUGUGUAUCUUUGUAACACAAUUCAUUCUUUUAGUAAUAAAAAGUUUCAGUUUCCUCUCAUUGCUUAGCUCUCUCAAAUAGCUAACAAUGGUGUUUGAGAACUGUUUACAUACAGAAUUCAUCAAUUGAUAUCUAACAUUUUAGAUCGCUC
rnacentral:lncRNA from 1 species